GGCUAACGCUGGCGGCGUGUCUUAGCCAUGCAAGUCGAGCGGACUUAUGGGGUAACUUAUAAGUCAGCGGCGGACGGCGGAGUAACACGUAGCUAACCUAACCCUCUGGACGGGGAUAACCUACCGAAAGGUGGGCUAAUACCCGAUGUAGUCAUCCUGUAUAGGGGUGGAUGAAAGGUGGGCGUUCUGUUUACAAGCUCAUGCUGGAGGAGGGGGCGUGCGGCCUAUCAGGUAGUUGGUAGGGUAAUAGCCUACCAAGCCGAUGACGGGUAGCCGGCCUGAGAGGGUGACCGGCCCGAGGGGCACUGAGAUACGGGUCCCACUCCUACGGGAGGCAGCAGGCUAGAAAUUUGGGCAAUGGGGGAAACCCUGACCCAGUGACGCCGCGUGCAGGAAGGAGCCCUUCGGGGUGUAAACUGCUGUCGUGUAGGGAGAAGGGUACUAAGGUGAACAAUCUUAGUACUUGACGGUACUACAGGAGGAAGCCCAGGCUAACCUCGUG
rnacentral:rRNA from 1 species